rnacentral:sRNA from 1 species
GGAAGUAAAAGUCGUAACAAGGUCUCCGUUGGUGAACCAGCGGAGGGAUCAUUACUGAGUUACCGCUCUAUAACCCUUUGUGAACAUACCUAACCGUUGCUUCGGCGGGCAGGGGAAGCCUCUCGCGGGCCUCCCCUCCCGGCGCCGGCCCCCACCACGGGGACGGGGCGCCCGCCGGAGGAAACCAAACUCUAUUUACACGACGUCUCUUCUGAGUGGCACAAGCAAAUAAUUAAAACUUUUAACAACGGAUCUCUUGGUUCUGGCAUCGAUGAAGAACGCAGCGAAAUGCGAUAAGUAAUGUGAAUUGCAGAAUUCAGUGAAUCAUCGAAUCUUUGAACGCACAUUGCGCUCGCCAGCAUUCUGGCGAGCAUGCCUGUUCGAGCGUCAUUUCAACCCUCAAGCACCGCUUGGUUUUGGGGCCCCACGGCACACGUGGGCCCUUAAAGGUAGUGGCGGACCCUCCCGGAGCCUCCUUUGCGUAGUAACUAACGUCUCGCACUGGGAUUCGGAGGGACUCUUGCCGUAAAACCCCCAAAUUUUUUACAGGUUGACCUCGGAUCAGGUAGGAAUACCCGCUGAACUUAAGCAUAUCAA